rnacentral:rRNA from 1 species
GCAGUCGAGGGGUAGAGCACUUCGGUGCUUGAGACCGGCGCACGGGUGCGUAACGCGUAUGCAAUCUGCCUUUCACAGAGGGAUAGCCCAGAGAAAUUUGGAUUAAUACCUCAUAGUAUUACGACUCGGCAUCGAGAUGUAAUUAAAGUCACAACGGUGAAAGAUUAGCAUGCGUCCCAUUAGCUAGUUGGUAAGGUAACGGCUUACCAAGGCAACGAUGGGUAGGGGUCCUGAGAGGGAGAUCCCCCACACUGGUACUGAGACACGGACCAGACUCCUACGGGAGGCAGCAGUGAGGAAUAUUGGACAAUGGGCGCAAGCCUGAUCCAGCCAUGCCGCGUGCAGGAUGACGGUCCUAUGGAUUGUAAACUGCUUUUGUACGAGAAGAAACAUCCCGACGUGUCGGGACUUGACGGUAUCGUAAGAAUAAGGAUCGGCUAACUCCGUGCCAGCAGCCGCGGUAAUACGGAGGAUCCAAGCGUUAUCCGGAAUCAUUGGGUUUAAAGGGUCCGUAGGCGGUUUAGUAAGUCAGUGGUGAAAGCCCAUCGCUCAACGGUGGAACGGCCAUUGAUACUGCUGAACUUGAAUUACUGGGAAGUAACUAGAAUAUGUAGUGUAGCGGUGAAAUGCUUAGAUAUUACAUGGAAUACCAAUUGCGAAGGCAGGUUACUACCAGUUGAUUGACGCUGAUGGACGAAAGC